CUGGCCCAAGACCCGCAGCAACACUACACAGCAGAGGAGCUACAACAACACAAACUCUCGGGCAAGACCUACCAAGACCUCUACUUUCUCUACUUUAUUGACGAGUUGCUAACUCAAGACCAAUAUUUGAAAAUGCCAGCUUACAUGGACAUCGCUCUUCAGGACAUCAUGAACGUGAAGGAUCAGCAUAUUAGUUAAGAUCAGGUGUAAACUCUCUCUGUUGGAGAGGAAGUGCAGCAGUGGUGUGGAGAAACUGAAGAUAGCUAUUAUAGAACAUCUCCAGAAUAGGAUCCCUACAUCUCCUAUAUCUCCUAUUUUGGCGAAGACUGUGUCUUUUUUCACUCAGAAGAAGACCUUGCUGUCACCCACCAGUUAUUCCAAAUGUUCCAGGGACAUGCUGCAUCUCUUUCCCACUCCAGAGGACAUUGUACCACUCUGCUUCGAACAAUGAACUUAGAGAGAUGCAUGGAUGGGGAGAUUAUAGGUCAGGGGUUACAUAUUGGUCUGAGACUAGGGUCUGAGACAAAAUGAUCACUGCAGCGUGAGAUACAAACCUGUGGAGCGGGCAUGAACUGAGCCGAUGAUGAACAGAGCACAAUAUACUGUUCAUGUGCAAAUUCAGCUUGGAUAUAUCAGAGCGCCAUAUCUACAUUGGGAAAAUAUUCCCACCAUGGUGAUUGGCUGGUUGUCCCAUUUGGACCAGACUGUUAGAGAUUGGUCUGGAACCUAUUCUGUUGAUUUACAUGAAAUGUAAAGUUGCAGAAUCAUUUGAAAUGCAUUGUAUGUAUUUAUAUAAGAAGAAGUGUACUGCCUUACUCUUUCUGUGAAAUUAUUAACUAAAUACCCUGAGAUCUGGUUCAAGGUGAAACGCUGCCUCAAAUAACGGUAGAAAAUAAAUUAACAUGCAUACCUUUAUUUCUGUAAAGGAACAGUGCAUUGUUGUGCAUGAAAAAUACAUAAGGUAAAUGUUUAUUUGAUCUUUAUCUUAUCCAAAGAGGAUUUAUAUUCUUGUUAAUAUUGUUGUCUAACUUUGUCAGCUAAUUAAACUGC
ensembl:lncRNA